rnacentral:rRNA from 1 species
GACGAACGCUGGCGGCGUGCUUAACACAUGCAAGUCGAACGGAAAGGCCCUGCUUUUGUGGGGUGCUCGAGUGGCGAACGGGUGAGUAACACGUGAGUAACCUGCCCUUGUCUUUGGGAUAACUUCAGGAAACUGGGGCUAAUACCGGAUAGGAGCUCCUGCUGCAUGGUGGGGGGUGGAAAGUUUCGGCGGUUGGGGAUGGACUCGCGGCUUAUCAGCUUGUUGGUGGGGUAGUGGCUUACCAAGGCUGUGACGGGUAGCCGGCCUGGGAGGGGGAACGGCCACAAGAGUCCUAAGAUACGGAGCAGUCUGGAACGUGAGGCAGCAGUCGGAAAUAUUACACAAUGAGCGGGAGUGUGAGGCGGAGGCGCCGCGUGCGGGAUGACGGCCUUCGGGUUGUAAACCGCUUUCGCCUGUGACGAAGCGGGAGUGACGGUAAUGAGUAAAGAAGCACCGGCUAACUACGUG